UACGUAGGCAGCGAGCGUUGUUCGGAAUUACUGGGCGUAAAGGGUGUGUAGGCGGUUGGGUAAGUGUGGUGUGAAAUCUCCCGGCUCAACUGGGAGGGUGCGCUACAAACUGUCUGACUAGGGUGCGGGAUGGGAAAGUGGAAUUCCUGGUGUAGCGGUGAAAUGCGUAGAUAUCAGGAGGAACACCGGUGGUGUAGACGGCUUUCUGGACCGUAACUGACGCUGAAACACGAAAGCGUGGGUAGCAAACAGG
rnacentral:rRNA from 1 species